CUCCUCUGACGUUAGCGGCGGACGGGUGAGUAACACGUGGAUAACCUACCUAUAAGACUGGGAUAACUUCGGGAAACCGGAGCUAAUACCGGAUAGGAGCUCCUGCUGCAUGGUGGGGGUUGGAAAGUUUCGGCGGUUGGGGAUGGACUCGCGGCUUAUCAGCUUGUUGGUGGGGUAGUGGCUUACCAAGGCUUUGACGGGUAGCCGGCCUGAGAGGGUGACCGGCCACAUUGGGACUGAGAUACGGCCCAG
rnacentral:rRNA from 1 species